AGCUCAGGUUUCUCUUCAUUCACGCACAAAUCUUUUGCCUUUUACUAAAGAUCUUUUACUAAAGAUUUCCGUGGAGUUCUUCUUAUUUUUGAAGGCUCUGCCACGGCAGAGCU